AAAUUGAAGAGUUUGAUCAUGGCUCAGAUUGAACGCUGGCGGCAGGCCUAACACAUGCAAGUCGAACGGUAACAGGAAACAGCUUGCUGUUUCGCUGACGAGUGGCGGACGGGUGAGUAAUGUCUGGGAAACUGCCUGAUGGAGGGGGAUAACUACUGGAAACGGUAGCUAAUACCGCAUAAUGUCGCAAGACCAAAGAGGGGGACCUUCGGGCCUCUUGCCAUCGGAUGUGCCCAGAUGGGAUUAGCUAGUAGGUGGGGUAACGGCUCACCUAGGCGACGAUCCCUAGCUGGUCUGAGAGGAUGACCAGCCACACUGGAACUGAGACACGGUCCAGACUCCUACGGGAGGCAGCAGUGGGGAAUAUUGCACAAUGGGCGCAAGCCUGAUGCAGCCAUGCCGCGUGUAUGAAGAAGGCCUUCGGGUUGUAAAGUACUUUCAGCGGGGAGGAAGGGAGUAAAGUUAAUACCUUUGCUCAUUGACGUUACCCGCAGAAGAAGCACCGGCUAACUCCGUGCCAGCAGCCGCGGUAAUACGGAGGGUGCAAGCGUUAAUCGGAAUUACUGGGCGUAAAGCGCACGCAGGCGGUUUGUUAAGUCAGA
rnacentral:rRNA from 1 species